rnacentral:rRNA from 1 species
AUUGAACGCUGGCGGCAGGCCUAACACAUGCAAGUCGAGCGACCGGCGGACGUGUGAGUGAUGUAUGGGGAUCUGCCCGAUGGAGGGGGAUAACGACUAGAAACGGGGGCUAAUACCGCAUACUCUCGGAUGAACCCCGAUGGGAUUAGCUAGUAGGUGGGGUAAAGGCGCACCUGGGCGACGAUCCCUAGCUGGUCUGAGAGGAUGACCAGCCCCACUGGAACUGAGACACGGCCCGGACCCCUACGGGAGGCUGAAGUGGGGAAUAUUGCACAUGGGGCGAAAGCCGGAUGCAGCCAUGCCGCGUGUUUGAAGAAGGCCUUAGGAUUGUAAAGUACUUUCAGCGGGGAGGCGUUACCCGCAGAAGAAGCACCGGCUAACUCCGUGCCAGCAGCCGCGGUAAUUC